GCCCUUGUUGAUUUUAUAUCACAUCUAGUCCAUAAUGCACCCGCUGCAAGCAUGGAUACUCAUGUCACUUGAUGGGAAAAGCUUGGAGAGGGAGGAUUUGGAACUAGUUAAGAUUCUUCAAUACGGUCUGCUAUCCCUUCAGCGCUUGUUGACAAAGAAUCCGGAUUUAGCUUCAGUGGUCUCCACAAAGGAGAAGCUAUUGCCCCUCUUCGAAUGCUUUUCUCUUCCUGUUUCUUCAUCAAGCAACAUUCCUCAGCUAUGUCUACUUGUUUUGUCACGGUUGACAACAUAUGCACCUUGUGUGGAAGCAAUGGU